UUUUUUACACACCCCCUGGGUGGUGGUAUCAGUAAAACGAAGCUGCUGAACUUACGAGGGUCAUUGGAGGCAUCAAAAUAUUAGAUGUAAUUUUUUUACUGACGACUCGUGUGAGCGCCGCCGCAUAUAUAUGUAUAUAAAAAAUCCCUGUCUCUGCUAUCUCUUGGCGAGUGGUAGGGGGUCCAAUCUAUAAUUUAUAUCUCUACCAAGCCUGAUUUAAAACCAGAGGAUCUUUAGCCUUUUUCUUCAUUAAUACAAAAUCUGUGAUAGAAGGAAAAAGUUCCUGUCAUUUAAAGAAAAAUAAUAUAAAAAAGAUUCCAUAAUUCGGCGUAUUAUAUAGUUGGAGCUUGGCCGUGCAGAAGUCUUGUGUGUGCUUUUGAGAAUAUAAUUGUUUGAGAGGGACUCGGAGUUUGGAGUCUUGACCAUAUUCCUCGGGGAACCAGAUUCGGACCACUUGUUGGAGAAGUCUUUUCCCGUGAACCAUAUAGCAGGAAGGAAACCGACAGAAUUUCUCUUUGGAAGGUUUUCAAAAACAACAAUGUCUACCAGUUCCUUGACAACAGCGAUGUGACGCGCAGCAACUGGAUGCACUACACAAAUUUCGCCUACACGGCAGCCCAGCAGAACUUAAUCGCGUGUCAGAUAGACUUCAAUAUUUAUUUCUACACGACGAAAGCCCAUCCCCCCCAACACGGAGCUCAUGGUGUGGUACUGUAGGGAGUAUGCUGACCGCCUCAACUGCCCCCUGACAGGGGAGGAAAUGCUGCAAAACUGGAGGCGGCAGUAUAUCGAGCGACAGAUCACCAUGCCCAAACCCUUACUUCCUCUUCCGAUCUGUCACAACGCAUUCAAACCGGACCUGAGCGAUUCCAAAUUCUGUCCAGAAAAACUGACGAAGGAGUCCAAAAACGAAAGUAGUGACAGCAGUCGAGACGAUGGCUUCGCCAUUGAUUACAGUUUACAUAAGAGAGAUGGUUCGCCCACUAGCGAAGAUCUUGAGAGGAGUCGAGAGGAACGCAAAAAGUCAGAAAAUAUGGAAAUUAUCCCCUCCCCCACUAAGUCUCCGCCCAUCAGUUACUUGAGGGACAGGCUGUCGCCAAUGUCUAUCUUUCAGGCUAGCUCCACACCAUCUGCUUUCCACCCAAAACCGGUCAUGGCACACAGCACUCCAAAGAAAUCAUCGUCCGGUGCGGUGUUUGAUAGUCUGCUGAUGAAGAAGAUGAAGGAAAAUGGUGAAGAUGUGCCAGACAAAAUGCUGAAGGGAGAUAUGUCUCCACUUGACUUUAAAUCACCCAAUGAAAUCAAAUCACAAAUCUCACCUGCUCAUGAGCCGAAAAUCAAAACCGAAGAAUCUAGUCCCAAAGAUCUGAAGGAUCGUGCACCUCAUCCAGACCAAUUCAACCCCUUCAAUCCAUUCUUUUUCAAGUUCAUGCAGCCAAACCCGAUGAUGGAUAAAAACAAUAUGCCUAUGCCUCCAUACAUGGGCCGUCCAGAAGAAAACAAAUUCAUGUCCAAGAUGCCUCCCCAUUCUGGGCCCCCCUUGUAUUUCCCCACCCCAUCCAUGCCCUAUCUUCCAGCCAUGUAUCCAUUUGGCCCAUACCCAGGAAUGCCCUGGCAAAUGUUUCCGCCUCCUUUCCAGCAGAUGGGCAACCAGCAAGCACCGAUGCCAUUUCCACCUCGACCCAUGAUGCCUCAGCCAGAGCAGGUCCUCAAUCUAACAAAACCAAGAAUGGAGGGGGUUCACGGACGGGGACACAGAAGUCUGCCCUAUCCUCUGAGAAAGAAGGAUGGAAAGAUGCACUACGAGUGUAAUGUUUGUUAUAAAUCAUUCGGACAAUUGUCAAAUUUAAAGGUGCACCUUCGCACUCACACUGGGGAAAGGCCAUUUGUCUGCCAGACUUGUGGCAAAGGUUUCACCCAGCUCGCUCAUCUACAGAAGCACCAUCUUGUCCAUACAGGCGAAAAACCUCACGAGUGUACAGUCUGCGGAAAGAGAUUCAGCUCAACCUCCAACCUCAAAACUCACAUGCGACUACACUCGGGGGAGAAACCCUUUCAUUGUAAACUCUGUCCAGCCAAAUUCACUCAAUUCGUCCAUCUUAAACUUCAUAAAAGACUGCACACCAAUGAACGUCCAUACGAGUGCCCUCAGUGUAACCGCAAGUACAUCAGUGCGAGUGGACUCAAAACUCACUGGAAGACUGGCAACUGCAUCCCGCCCGGUUUGAACAUUGACUACAACACGCUGUUAGAAAAUACUCAUCACGAGGUCAUCAGCCAAGACCGGCAAGACGGAUACAACGAAAACAUGGAAGGCGAGAAAUUUGAAAAAUACGACCAAGAGCUGGACGAGGACCUCUCCAAUCAAAGUCAUUUAGACUCUUUUAACAAUAACGCAGACAGUCCUAGUGCUAACGGAAGCUUAAAUCAUUUACGUUUGAACAGUUGUAGUAGCAGCGUGAUUGGAAGUGACGAAGAAGGGGAAAAGAACCCUCCCUCGCCGGCUUUCUCUGACCCCGAGAACAGCAGCACCAGUGUGUUUGAGAAACCAGUGGAGUAUACCAUGUCACCCUCACCCCCAAAACUGUCAUCCCCAUCCCCCAUCUCAAACCCUGAGCCCGUCUCAGUUUAAUCAAAUUAAACUAUAGUGACAGAUUAGAAAUUUCCUAGAACUGUUUUUUUAUGGUUGGAAAAUACUGUAUUAAAUUAUACAUGUAAAAGAUGCAUAAUAACAAAGUAGAGCAUGAUAAUUUAAUAUAUACAUUCAGACCUUAUGUAGAAGAGUUCUAUCCCUUGAUAGAUUGUGUAUUUGAUUUGACAAGAACUUAGUGUGAUGAUGAUAAUGAUAUAUAUAUCCAUGACAGGUCAAAUAUGACGUUUUUUUGUUUGCUGAAUAUUUAUAUUUCAUGUUAUUUAAACAGAGUUGAAUUGUUUUUGUAUAAUUUAUUUUUCUUUCUUUCUUUUGAGUUGUGAUUUUUAAGGUACAUUUUUUUUUAGGUUAUACCAGUCUUCUUUGUAAUUUAAGUGUACAGCUCAGCAGCCUCUGAAAACAAUUUGUAUUUAUUUUUUUUCAUGGAUUUUUGAUUUCAUAACUUCCUGCUACAUGUAUUAAAUGCUAAAGCACUAUAUUCUUUAACCCUGUUUUAAAACUUUUUUUCUUUAUGAAACAUGACCAUGUUGAAAAUUUUGAAUUGAAUGACUUUAUUGGCAGCAAGGAAAUAUUUAUUUUCUGAUAUCAGUGAAACUAACAAAUUUUUGCUGUGUGUUUUCCCACUAAUUCUUUUUUUUAGGAAAUGUGAAUUUGUACCUGUUGUUCUUAUAAUGGCUCUUGCAUUUUGUGAAUGUCAUCAUGUUAUGAUGACGUUUUGUUUUUGUAUGAUUUUUUUCCUGGCAUUUCAUUUGCAUUUAUGUCUAUUGACAAUCAUUUUUAAGAGUAUUGCUAAUGAAUAUACUUAUUCAGUUCAAUGACUGUAUUGAAAUGGUUAAUAAAAUGUGCUCCCAAAAGCAUAAGAACUGUG
rnacentral:misc_RNA from 1 species